CCGGCGAUGUCCGAAUGGGGAAACCCAGUGCAAUUCGUUGCACUAUCGUUAACUGAAUACAUAGGUUAACGAGGCGAACCGGGGGAACUGAAACAUCUAAGUACCCCGAGGAAAAGAAAUCAACCGAGAUUCCCCCAGUAGCGGCGAGCGAACGGGGAGCAGCCCAGAGUCUGAAUCAGCUUGUGUGUUAGUGGAACGGUCUGGAAAGUCCGACGGUACAGGGUGAUAGUCCCGUACACCAAAAUGCACAGGUUGUGAACUCGAAGAGUAGGGCGGGACACGUGGUAUCCUGUCUGAAUAUGGGGGGACCAUCCUCCAAGGCUAAAUACUCCUGACUGACCGAUAGUGAACCAGUACCGUGAGGGAAAGGCGAAAAGAACCCCGGCGAGGGGAGUGAAAAAGAACCUGAAACCGUGUACGUACAAGCAGUGGGAGCACCUUCGGGUGUGACUGCGUACCUUUUGUAUAAUGGGUCAGCGACUUAUAUUCUGUAGCAAGGUUAACCGUAUAGGGGAGCCGCAGGGAAACCGAGUCUUAACUGGGCGUUAAGUUGCAGGGUAUAGACCCGAAACCCGGUGAUCUAGCCAUGGGCAGGUUGAAGGUUGGGUAACACUAACUGGAGGACCGAACCGACUAAUGUUGAAAAAUUAGCGGAUGACUUGUGGCUGGGGGUGAAAGGCCAAUCAAACCGGGAGAUAGCUGGUUCUCCCCGAAAGCUAUUUAGGUAGCGCCUCGUGAACUCAUCUUCGGGGGUAGAGCACUGUUUCGGCUAGGGGGUCAUCCCGACUUACCAACCCGAUGCAAACUACGAAUACCGAAGAAUGUUAUCACGGGAGACACACGGCGGGUGCUAACGUCCGUCGUGAAGAGGGAAACAACCCAGACCGCCAGCUAAGGUCCCAAAGUCAUGGUUAAGUGGGAAACGAUGUGGGAAGGCACAGACAGCCAGGAUGUUGGCUUAGAAGCAGCCAUCAUUUAAAGAAAGCGUAAUAGCUCACUGGUCGAGUCGGCCUGCGCGGAAGAUGUAACGGGGCUAAACCAUGCACCGAAGCUGCGGCAGCGACACUAUGUGUUGUUGGGUAGGGGAGCGUUCUGUAAGCCUGCGAAGGUGACCUGUGAGGGUUGCUGGAGGUAUCAGAAGUGCGAAUGCUGACAUAAGUAACGAUAAAGCGGGUGAAAAGCCCGCUCGCCGGAAGACCAAGGGUUCCUGUCCAACGUUAAUCGGGGCAGGGUGAGUCGACCCCUAAGGCGAGGCCGAAAGGCGUAGUCGAUGGGAAACAGGUUAAUAUUCCUGUACUUGGUGUUACUGCGAAGGGGGGACGGAGAAGGCUAUGUUAGCCGGGCGACGGUUGUCCCGGUUUAAGCAUGUAGGCUGGUUAUCCAGGCAAAUCCGGAUAAUCAAGGCUGAGGUGUGAUGACGAGGCACUACGGUGCUGAAGUAACAAAUGCCCUGCUUCCAGGAAAAGCCUCUAAGCAUCAGGUAACAUCAAAUCGUACCCCAAACCGACACAGGUGGUCAGGUAGAGAAUACCAAGGCGCUUGAGAGAACUCGGGUGAAGGAACUAGGCAAAAUGGUGCCGUAACUUCGGGAGAAGGCACGCUGGUGUGUAGGUGAAGUCCCUGCGGAUGGAGCUGAGACCAGUCGAAGAUACCAGCUGGCUGCAACUGUUUAUUAAAAACACAGCACUGUGCAAACACGAAAGUGGACGUAUACGGUGUGACGCCUGCCCGGUGCCGGAAGGUUAAUUGAUGGGGUUAUCCGUAAGGAGAAGCUCUUGAUCGAAGCCCCGGUAAACGGCGGCCGUAACUAUAACGGUCCUAAGGUAGCGAAAUUCCUUGUCGGGUAAGUUCCGACCUGCACGAAUGGCGUAAUGAUGGCCAGGCUGUCUCCACCCGAGACUCAGUGAAAUUGAACUCGCUGUGAAGAUGCAGUGUACCCGCGGCAAGACGGAAAGACCCCGUGAACCUUUACUAUAGCUUGACACUGAACAUUGAGCCUUGAUGUGUAGGAUAGGUGGGAGGCUUUGAAGCGUGGACGCCAGUCUGCGUGGAGCCAACCUUGAAAUACCACCCUUUAAUGUUUGAUGUUCUAACGUUGGCCCCUUACCGGGGUUGCGGACAGUGUCUGGUGGGUAGUUUGACUGGGGCGGUCUCCUCCCAAAGCGUAACGGAGGAGCACGAAGGUUAGCUAAUCCUGGUCGGACAUCAGGAGGUUAGUGCAAUGGCAUAAGCUAGCUUGACUGCGAGCGUGACGGCGCGAGCAGGUGCGAAAGCAGGUCAUAGUGAUCCGGUGGUUCUGAAUGGAAGGGCCAUCGCUCAACGGAUAAAAGGUACUCCGGGGAUAACAGGCUGAUACCGCCCAAGAGUUCAUAUCGACGGCGGUGUUUGGCACCUCGAUGUCGGCUCAUCACAUCCUGGGGCUGAAGUAGGUCCCAAGGGUAUGGCUGUUCGCCAUUUAAAGUGGUACGCGAGCUGGGUUUAGAACGUCGUGAGACAGUUCGGUCCCUAUCUGCCGUGGGCGCUGGAGAAUUGAGGGGGGCUGCUCCUAGUACGAGAGGACCGGAGUGGACGCAUCACUGGUGUUCGGGUUGUCAUGCCAAUGGCACUGCCCGGUAGCUAAAUGCGGAAGAGAUAAGUGCUGAAAGCAUCUAAGCACGAAACUUGCCCCGAGAUGAGUUCUCCCUGAGACUUUAAGUCUCCUGAAGGAACGUUAAAGACGAUGACGUUGAUAGGCCGGGUGUGUAAGCGCAGCGAUGCGUUGAGCUAACCGGUACUAAUGAACCGUGAGGCUUAACCUUACAACGCCGAAG
rnacentral:rRNA from 1 species